CUUCCCGUGAACACACACACGCACGCGCACACACGGUUCUCUUUGUGACUCUUACUUUCACCCUCUCUCGUCCGCCAAAAGAAAUCCAGAAAUCCAGAAACUUGUCCAUCAAAGGAGUGGUCGUCCUCUAUUUUCAGUGGCAGUACAAUGGCACCGGCCAGCAGCGAACCAUUCCAUCGGUCCACAGUGUCACUGGGAGCAGUAGACCGGAUCCGAGUGUGUCCACCCGACUCAUGGAGAGAGGCUCUGGCCUGAGGAGGACAGUGGGACAAAACAACAACCAUCUUCUUGAACAGCGUAUGAGCGAUGGAGUCCUACGUGGACGCUCCGUUUUCUGCUAAAGUUAACACCGUUAUAUCUACUGUAUUAUUGUUUUGGUCUGUAAUUUUUGCUGAGUUCAGCAAAAAUGUGAGAGACCAAAUAUGCUGUGUGUUUCUGUAGCCAGCACCGUCAAUCCAUUGUGAUGAAACGUCACCCACAUCCCACUGAAGCAGCGUAGUUGACUUAUUCCUGUUGAUAAUAAAAUUAAAAUCAAGAAUGUUGUGAGAAAGACUGCACAGCUAAAAGUGAAUGUUACAAGUAUCACCCGGUGAAUAAAAGGUAUCGACCAAUUACACGGCCACCAACGUCGAUCAAGAACAGAUAGAUCUAAAAGCCACUCGUCGGUCCUCUGCCAGUGCAAAUCUAUUCAAACGGUCGCACAUUUCCAUUGCUGCAUGUAUGAAUAUUCCUGAAGAUAUAAUUUAGCUUCAAUCAACGCCCACAUUCUCAGUCUUGUCACCGCCAAAUCUGCACACAUUGCUGCUGGUCCUCCUCCCGGUCCACACCUUGGACCUCGCCAUGAGACAAGAGGACUGAGACGUUCUGUCGGCCUCUCCUGCGAUCCGUCCCGCGGAAAGCUGCAGAGUUUACUGUUCAAACGCAGUACAUGAGUGCACGGAGGGGGAAAGGCGGUUCCUACUCUCGGUCGCUUGGACACUCAGCUGGCCCGGGACUUUUCCACCCCGCUGGACGCAAAGCCUUGUUAUCCUGUGAAUGAACCCGUCGAUCCCACCUGGUCGGUGUCUGCCUCCACACCCUGGGACGCCCCCGAUCAAAGGCUUCAACGUGACCAGGAACAAAUUAAGUUGCGCACAAUUUUGACUGGCAAAUGCAAAUGAUACACAGUGGAAACUCUGUGUGCUGAACUAGAGUCAUCAGAAUACAAGUGUGCUCACAAUUGCUGGAUAAUUGAGGCCCAUUUAGGUUGAGUGGAAAAGUCGUUGACGUGGUUACAGUUGGAGCAUGUUAAGAGGCAUGAAUAGAUACUAAGAAACAAGGGCCUGUGAUAUACAUCUAAAUAUAAUUGACUAAUUAUAUUAUAAUUAACUAUAUUCAUGUUAUGUGUUGCAGGCCUGAUCAUGAUAAUUAUAUCAUUAUAUUGUGAAAUUAAGUGGUGAUAAGUGCAGGAUU
ensembl:lncRNA